UACAGAGGGUGCAAGCGUUGUUCGGAAUUAUUGGGCGUAAAGGGCGCGUAGGCGGUGCGGUAAGUCUGCAGGGAAAUCUCUGGGCUCAACUCAGAGUCUGCUGUGGAAACUGCCGUGCUUGAGUGUGGGAGAGGUGAGUGGAAUUCCCGGUGUAGCGGUGAAAUGCGUAGAUAUCAGGAGGAACACCUGUGGCGAAAGCGGCGCACUGGACCACAACUGACGCUGAGGCGCGAAAGCUAGGGGAGCAAACAGG
rnacentral:rRNA from 1 species